CGCGGACGUCCGUAUACAAUAAUAUUACCAUAAAUCGGCGCACGGACGCACGAAAAAUAAUACGAACGUGUAUAGCGUAUUUUAUCAUUAUGGGUUUCGGGUUUCGUAUCGCGGCUUUUAAAUCGAUAUCAAUUAACGGGAACGCCGGGGUUUUGAAACGCGAAUUCGAAACGUCUAUAACGCGUCGAAUACAUACAACGGUUUUGUAAAUCCGUUAAAAUAGCGAAAUCCAAUU